UAUGAUAUAGAAAAAAAUAAGUAAGAUAUUUUAUGUCAGGUCAGACAUGUAUCAAUAAUGUUCUAAUAUAUAUAACGAACUCUUUUGAUAAUUUCAGCAUUUUCUGUUAUUGCUGUCAAUUUAAUGGUGUAGUACCACUACACCAUUAAAUUGACUGAUAGUUACUUUUCUAGCUUUGAAUAGGAUGUCGAAAUUGUCAGUUAAUUUAUUGCACCGUAUUCGAUCAUAAUGUUGAUUUCAUUUUGUAGUUGUGAUGAUCCCGUACAAAACUCUCAUCUGAAUACUGACAUGUUCCCAAGUUCAAAUCAGUUAUGGGGAAUGAUAGGUACUAUAGUAGUAACUGUUACAUGUUGGAUAUUUUAUACAAAGAUAGUGGUCAGAAAAAUGCAGCAAAAAUAUUAUUAUCAAAACAGAACAAGAAUUACAUCCCCAGGACGUAAAAUACGUAAGCACAGUAAUAAUUGAAAUAAAAAUACCAUACAUAUAAAAUAUUUUGUUUUAAUCAUAUUAUUAUAAAAUAUAAUCUAAUAUGGCUCAUAAGAAAUAUAUUAAAAUUUCCCAACACCCUACAACGAAAAUAAUAUAACAAAUUAUAAUGUUAUUCCAUUACUUAAUGGAUUUAUAUUAUUUUGAUUAAUUCACCAACUAUUAACAUGUGAGUGCGGUGUCCUGAUCACCGCUACUUUUACAGUAGCAAUGAUUAGGUUUUAAGGUCAUUACGAUCUUUUGUAUAAUCAAAAUCUAAUUAUUUAAUCUACAGCCAAAUUGCAAUACGUUUUUCUACGAUGUAGUCUGGUCAACGAACAGUAAGUUUUUCAAGCUAUAUUCAUUGAUAGAAGCAUUAUCAGGCACUGAAAAUUUGUGGUUUCACACAUGCUAACGGUAGCAUAUUAUUCAUAAAUCCAUUAAGUAAUUAAAUGGACUUCCGAAAAUAACACCUAUUUUAAUAAAAUAUAUAAUGUCAUUUGCUUAAUUUAUAAUAUGAAUUGUUAAAUGAUUAUUAUUAAAACUCAUAUUCUUUUGACUACUUGUAACAGAUAAUUUUGUUGCGUUUGAACACAAAUAUUUCUCAUUUUAUAUUUUUUUUACCACAUAAAAAUGCACUUUAGGAACACUAUAUUAUUUGUAGGAUAACAUAAAAGAGGAAAUUAUCCUAUUUUCAAUAACAUUACACUAGCACAAUAUAUUUUUAUAUAGUCACUAAAAUAUACGUACCUCUAGAAAGAAAUUAAAAUUAUUGACUGGAGAGGUGAGACGCGUUUUAUAAUUCCUAGUUUGCCAAUUUAUUCAGUUCUCAGUAUGACUCAAAUAUUAAUAUAUAUACACAUACUACUUUGAUAAAUAUUCUGAUUAAAGAAAUAUAAUAGUUAAAAAUCAAUAAACUUUUUUCAGUCUAAUAUUUUCAGUUCAAAACUUUCUAAUAUACAAUGCACUGAAUAGCCGGUGAACAGAAAUGUGAAGGUUAGAAAGCUAAAUUAAUAUUCAAUACAAGGCCACGUUAUUAUUUACGUAAUUUUUAAUGUAUUGUUGGUCUCUUCUUUACUGUAUGUUACAAAUAAAUUAUAUUAUAUCUCUAUCAUGAACAUGUUUACGAUUACAGUUACAAUUAGCUAACAGCUAAUAAGUCAAAAUAAGUAAUAUUAGGUCAUUCAACUAAAAUAAUGCUAAAAUUUUAAUGACUUAGAUAAAUACAAUUUUUUUUACACAAAUCAUUGUGUAAAGUAAUAUAAGUAUAUUUAAUAUCUUUGUGGUUAUUGACGUUUCUAUACUUAUUCUGCUAACAUUAUAGAUGUAGAACAUUAGUGACAAUGAUAUAGCUAUCACGUAUAAAUCUGUAACAUUUUAAAAAAAUCUUAUUAUUUUGUCCCCUUAGUCGCAAAAUCUAAAACCUACAAAUAGUAUCUAGUCAUUUCCUUCGAAGAAA